UUUAAGUUCAACACAAAGGGAUUAUGCUCAAACUGCUCAAGCUUGUGGAAAGGCACUGAUAGCAUUGAUAAACGAGGUGCUUGACCGGGCAAAAAUUGAAGCUGGCAAGUUGGAGCUUGAAGCUGUCCCGUUUGACCUUCGGUCCAUACUAGAUGAUGUUCUUUCUUUAUUUUCUGAGAAGUCUAGAAACAAAGGAAUUGAGCUGGCUGUGUUUGUUUCUGACAAAGUUCCAGAUAUUGUUCUGGGGGAUCCUGGGAGAUUCAGACAGAUAAUUACCAAUCUUGUGGGGAACUCUGUUAAGUUCACUGAACGAGGGCAUAUAUUUGUUAAAGUUCAUUUAGAUGAACAUGC
rnacentral:misc_RNA from 1 species